AUAUUACAAGGAAGAAAUAUUUUCUUAUAUAUAUUUACAUUGAGAAGGCCGAAAUUUGCUUAGAUACAUUAUAAAGUAUGGCUUGGGCUGGCAUUUUUAUUGCAUGUACCAUCAUUAGUACACUUAAUCUAGCGACUGGCAUCAAGUGUUUUAGCUGUGCUGUAACACCAGAAGUUUUAUCUAUUGGAUAUGAUCAAAUUGUUAUACCGUCCUGCUUUAAUUUUGAUGAAUCUCCAAAAUACAUUAUCGACUGCCCAUAUUCAACAAUGUGUUCUCGAAUUAUUUCCACAAGGCACUUGCAAAAUGGUUACGAACAAAAAACUACAACUCUUGGGUGUGCUCAACAAAAACGAUUACGCCACGUGUUGCACAAGGGCAAGUGGAUGCCAGAAUAUUCUGUGGAAGAAAUUUAUUCCGAAGACUGUAAGGCGAUGUAUGAUAAUAAUAAUUUAGUAGGUGCAACAAAAACGUACUGUUAUUGUCGUGGUGAUCUGUGCAAUUCUGAACAUCACCGACAUGCCUCUGCCAGUCUGAUCAAUUCUGCACAUCAACGACAUGCCUUUAUCAAUGCUUACAAUCUCUUACUGCCAUUCCUUAUAAUAAAAUUAUUUUUUUAGGUCAAACGAUUACAAAUAAUUAAUAAUUCAGGGUUUAAAUUUAAGUUACAUUGUAAUAUAUGAAUGAACAUACCAAAAUAAAUCUUAAAGUAAAUUAUUUUUUUAAAUAAAUUAAA